UUGUGUUUAGAAUAUUAAUUAUCUAUAAGCCAUCAAAAGUAUGAUGGCCUAAACAAUGAUAUUUAUUCAAUAAAGAGGCCAUCUUUUCUCUAUAUAAACAUCUUAGGAUGAACAUUAACAUAUUCUUUGUUAGUCUUCUUAAUAAUGGUCCGAUCUGAUACUAGGAAGAUGAACAAAAAUCAGAAUCAGUCUAAUCUUACUGUCCCUUGAAAGGAAAUCAUUAAUGACGCUGUGGCUAAUUGAUAAGGAAAGGAAGAACAGUUUAAUUUCAACCAGUUAUCUAUCAAUAGGCGAGAUCAAACUGUUAUAUAUAUUAUUAUGGUCAACUUGGAGAUAUCAGGGGAAAACCAUCAUCUCUAUCAGGCGAGUACAAUCAUAUCCUUCAUUAAACUUUGGGGAUCGCCAUUAACAUUGAGGUCUAUGUUACAUGCACUCGGGCUGGUAGUGGUAUUGGAUACAGAUAAGCUGAUUAGCCUGGGCUAGCGCUUGGAGGCAACUUCCAUCUGAUCUUUCAAGAGAUCUAAUCUUUCUUUUCUUGAAUCCUUGAAGGGGAGCCUUGGCGUAAUUGGUAAAGUUGCUGUCAUGUGACCAGGAUGGGUUUGAGCCGCGGGAAACAACCUCUUGCAGAAAUGCAGGGUAAGGCUGCGUACGAUAGACCCUUGUGGUCCGGCUCUUCCUCGGACCUCGCGCAUUACGAAAGCUUAGUGCACCAGGUUGCCUUUUAUUUCUUGAAUCCGCAGACUAGCUAGCUGAUCAGACUCUACAGGAAUUAUUAGUCAAAAGUCUUUACAUUUUGCUUAAACUUCAUUACAGUUACUAUUAAUGUAGGUGCUCCUUUUGUGGAGAUGUACUGAUCAUUGAAAGCCCGAAAGCUGCUUGUAUAUUUCAGCUUUAUUCA